UUUUAAAUGCACUACUCCCCCGCAACCGUUGAUUCGGACGUAGAGUGCAGCAGCCAGCAGCAAAAAGCAAAUGCGAAAAAUGAAAAGAAAGUGUGUGUGUGUGUGCGUGUGUGUUAGAUUUUAUAUGCAUGGCAUGGCUCCAGCUCCAAACUCCAAGUUCAGAAGGAACCUGCCCCAAGUGGAAGCUCCUUGCUCUUCCCUGCCACUCGUUUAUAUUAAUUCUACAAACUACAGUUAAGCCUCGCCUCGCUGCAACUCUCACAUUUCAUAUCAUUUCGCUUGAAAGAUAAGAACGUGUGCAUAAUCGUGUUUCAUAUUUUUCGUAGAGUAUAAAGAAGCAGCAGCAGCAGCUCUAUGCGAGUUUUCUGCUGGCUAGUAAACUGCGGCGACGACGACCUUUACUGACCUUCAAUAGCAAGCAUUUGCCUACCUACCUACCUACCCGCAGACUCUGUCCCUCUCGCGCUCCUACGCUGUGCAGAGCAUUUCGAUUCGUAUUUCAAAAAGCGCACUAAAACCUCAAUUUGUUUGUUUAUAAAAAGUAUGCGAAUUGGUGCCUUAGGCAAAGCUGCUGACAACUGAUAAGCGUUAUGGGCAUGGGGAGGUAGAAACUACCGCAAAGCCGCUGAGUGAACGAGAGAGAGAGAAACCAGGAGAGAGAAGCGCUUGACAGUUAUGCUUAGAGCUGCUGCUGCUGCUAAUCGGUGAUUUGUUGUGACUUGAUUGUCGCCGCAUAUUGAUUUUUUGUUGCUCCACUUUUCGCUUUUCUGCUCUCUGCUCUUCUGACCCAGUAGCGCCAGGCAUCGUCAAAUCAGCAUUAUUAGUGUGAUUUCCGCAUCCCCUCCACACAGAAAUCAAAAUCCAAAUCCCAUUCAGAUUAUUGGGAUGGGGAUGCAAUCUCCUUGGCAUUUUCACACGCAUUCGCUUACGUACGCUGAUCAUGUUUGAAGAUGCACUAAACACACUAUAUAUACACAUGAUCCCACAAGUUUAUACAUGAUAUAUAUAAAUUAUAGAUGUUUUUCUAUUUAUAACGCCGUUAUAUGUAUCGCUCGGAAUUAUGGCUGGCGACAGGCGCUAACAACUUUUUGUGCGCCCGAAAAUAUCUAUAUGUAAUUCUCGAAAAGUCUUUCCACACGAGAACGAAAAAUUCCUUGUCUCGGAGCAAAAGAACGCCCACUAUUGGCUUCUGUCUGGGUUAUACGUUGUACACGUACAAUUCUUCCACAAUCCAUAAAAUCUGCAUGAGUUUAUGCCCGCAUUUAUCAUCAGUCUCUGCAGCUGUGUUUGUCUGAGGUUUUCGCCCAUGGGGGAUAUAAUAGGGAUCGAUCUCCAGCGGCAGGCAGCCACCGCGGAGGCGCCUGUGCCACUGCAUCGCCUACCCGCAGAUGCCGCAGAGCCAGAAGAAGAUGACUAUGUUGCUGUUGCUGUUCUGUUGUUGUCGCGCUACAAUUUCAUUUCAUUUCAUUUCACAUUUACCCGGCUAUUUUUAGUGGUCUGCUCUUUCGGCACACAGAUACACACAUCUAGCAGAUACACACAGCAUCCAUGUGUUCCCGCAGAACUUGUUUCUCGCCUUGCACUCGCCAAUUUGUGCGUUGGUGUCGCCUCGCCGGUCGCCCAUUCCUCAUUCUUCGUUCCCCAUUGCUCCCCACUGCACCCAAUGUGGCAUUUUCGUGGAUUGGCAAACGGGUUUCGAGGCUGCGAUGUGUGGGCAUGGGCAUGGGCGGAGCAGGUCUGGGCCACUCAAGGUCUCGGGUCUGUCAUUCAUUUAAUUUCCGACACCAUUCAUGGACGAGCCUUGCGCUUAUCUGACAGAUGAUACACCCUAUCAUGCCCCAAUGAGCACUCGUUCAACCCAGACCCCAACCACCCCCUAAACAAACCCGCACUCACAGGGCGACCUAUUACUCUCUCGCUUUUGACUGGGUCGUUUAUCAGCUUUAUUGUGCUACAGGUAUACUUACUACGCGCAUGAUAAAAGAGAGCGGUUUAUGUUUUGAAGAGAGCGUGAGCUUUCGGCCAGAGCGAAGCUUAAGCUUUCUACACUGGAAACAUUUUGUAGGAAUUUCCCACAAUUAGCUGUCAAACAGCGUGCUAAUUUAUCCAUUUCUAAGUUUAAGUUUAAGCAUAUUUUUAAGGAAAAUGUCGCGUCGCCAUUCCGUUUGACAUGUUUCAACAGUCUGAACAGUUGUGGAGGUCUAAAAUUAGACCAAGUGUUGUUUGUUUUAUUUUAUUUAAGUCGCCCGAUUUAUGUGGCAGAGUGAAAUUCCUUUUGAUCGUUAUUGUCUUGUGAAUCUUUUUGCCAUUGUGAUCUCUUUUUUGUGUGUUGGUCACAUCCGGCACUGCGAAUCAUGAGAAAAGAAAGCAUAAAGCCCACACUCUUACACAUAUACACACACACAUACACACUCCACACACAAAUCCAUCAGUUGUAUAUAGAAGAGGAUAUAGAUGGAGAGGGGCAGGCAGCAUUCUCGAAAUGAAGCUCAUCAUCAGCUGCAGCUGCAAAGCCUCUGUUAAAGCAUCUGCAUCCUCAUCCGUGUCCGUAGCAGCGAGAAGGUAGUUGUUGUAAUCCAUCCACUUGUUGUAUUCCAAUGCUUCCCACGCUUCUAAAACCAAUGUAAACAGAACUCUCUAAUCAGACAUUUAACCCCACUAAAGUUAGUCCCAUAAAAUGUACAAAGAAAUGUACAACAAAAAUGUACAUACAUAUAUCAACAAACUAUCUCUGAUUUUGUAGCAAUAAUGUUCGAAAUUCAACUUGUCAAUAAUCGAAAUUGGAAAUAAAACUUUAAUUAAUUGGUAUCUCUA